rnacentral:sRNA from 1 species
GCUGGGUACGGUGGUGCACACCUGUAAUCCCAGUGGCUUGGGAGGGUGAGACAGGAGGAUCGUGGGUUCAAAAAAGCCAGUCUCAACAAAAGGGAGACAACUCAGAAAAAGGGAGACAACUCAGUGAGACCCUGUCUCUA